AGAAUAUAAGUUAGCCUCGUAGUGACCAUGUGGAAGUCCUGACCUCGCUUGCAGACUUGACCUCUGGAUGUGACAAGGUAGCUUCACUACAGCUCUACUAUUUAAUCCUGGAAACUAAAAACCAAAAAAAAAAAAAAAAAAAAUCUAAAAGCAAGAAAGAUGCAGACUAUUUCCUAAGAAGUCAGAAGAACCCAAUGUAUUCUGGAGGGCAAAGAAAAACAGGGUGAGGUUCUGUGUUCACUGAUACAUCCCCUUCCUUCACCGGGCUCAUGAAAAGAAAUGCUGAAUCAGCAAAUAGAGUGAACGAACAAUCAAGAUGAGAUGGCUGCUGUUGAUGUGAUUCUCUAGGUUACUACCUUUCUUCCUGCUGCAAAUGCUGCAUGACACUAAGCUUACAGGAUCUAGAAGCAGACUACAA
rnacentral:lncRNA from 1 species